rnacentral:rRNA from 1 species
GGGUUGUGAGGUUAAGCGACUAAGCGUACACGGUGGAUGCCCUGGCAGUCAGAGGCGAUGAAGGGCGUGCUAAUCUGCGAUAAGCGCCGGUAAGGUGAUAUGAACCGUUAUAACCGGCGAUACCCGAAUGGGGAAACCCAGUGUGAUUCGUCACACUAUCAUUAACUGAAUCCAUAGGUUAAUGAGGCGAACCGGGGGAACUGAAACAUCUAAGUACCCCGAGGAAAAGAAAUCAACCGAGAUUCCCCCAGUAGCGGCGAGCGAACGGGGAGGAGCCCAGAGCCUGAAUCAGCAUGUGUGUUAGUGGAAGCGUCUGGAAAGGCGCGCGAUACAGGGUGACAGCCCCGUACACAAAAGCGCAUGUGCUGUGAGCUCGAUGAGUAGGGCGGGACACGUGGUAUCCUGUCUGAAUAUGGGGGGACCAUCCUCCAAGGCUAAAUACUCCUGACUGACCGAUAGUGAACCAGUACCGUGAGGGAAAGGCGAAAAGAACC